CUUCACCGAGCCCAGCCACAGUGGCCGCUCGCGGCCCUGGCCGUAGGUCGCGAGCAACGCCUGCGCCUC
rnacentral:antisense_RNA from 1 species